UACAGAGGUCUCAAGCGUUGUUCGGAUUCAUUGGGCGUAAAGGGUGCGUAGGCGGUGCGGUAAGUCGGGUGUGAAAUCUCGGAGCUUAACUCCGAAACUGCAUUCGAUACUGCCGUGCUUGAGGACUGGAGAGGAGACUGGAAUUUACGGUGUAGCGGUGAAAUGCGUAGAUAUCGGAAGGAAGACCAGUGGCGAAGGCGGGUCUCUGGACAGUUCCUGACGCUGAGGCACGAAAGCGUGGGGAGCGAACAGG
rnacentral:rRNA from 1 species